rnacentral:rRNA from 1 species
CCUACGGGUGACAGCAGUGAGGAAUAUUGGUCAAUGGACGAGAGUCUGAACCAGCCAAGUAGCGUGAAGGAUGACUGCCCUAUGGGUUGUAAACUUCUUUUAUAUGGGAAUAAAAUGUUCCACGUGUGGGAUUUUGUAUGUACCAUAUGAAUAAGGAUCGGCUAACUCCGUGCCAGCAGCCGCGGUAAUACGGAGGAUCCGAGCGUUAUCCGGAUUUAUUGGGUUUAAAGGGAGCGUAGGUGGAUUGUUAAGUCAGUUGUGAAAGUUUGCGGCUCAACCGUAAAAUUGCAGUUGAAACUGGCAGUCUUGAGUACACUAGAGGUGGGCGGAAUUCGUGGUGUAGCGGUGAAAUGCUUAGAUAUCACGAAGAACUCCGAUUGCGAAGGCAGUUCACUGGACUGCAACUGACACUGAGGCUCGAAAGUGUGGGUAUCAAACAGGAUUAGAUACCCUAGUAGUC